UACGAAGGGUGCAAGCGUUACUCGGAAUUACUGGGCGUAAAGCGCGUGUAGGCGGCAGCGUGUGUCGGGCGUGAAAUCCCAUGGCUCAACCAUGGAAGUGCACCCGAAACUGCGCAGCUAGAGUCCUGGAGAGGAAGGUGGAAUACUUGGUGUAGAGGUGAAAUUCGUAGAUAUCAAGUGGAACACCGGUGGCGAAGGCGGCCUUCUGGCUCGAUACUGACGCUGAGGUGCGAAAGCGUGGGGAGCAAACAGG
rnacentral:rRNA from 1 species